GCCCCGGUAAACGGCGGCCGUAACUAUAACGGUCCUAAGGUAGCGAAAUUCCUUGUCGGGUAAGUUCCGACCUGCACGAAUGGCGUAAUGAUGGCCAGGCUGUCUCCACCCGAGACUCAGUGAAAUUGAACUCGCUGUGAAGAUGCAGUGUACCCGCGGCAAGACGGAAAGACCCCGUGAACCUUUACUAUAGCUUGACACUGAACAUUGAGCCUUGAUGUGUAGGAUAGGUGGGAGGCUUUGAAGUGUGGACGCCAGUCUGCAUGGAGCCGACCUUGAAAUACCACCCUUUAAUGUUUGAUGUUCUAACGUUGGCCCGUAAUCCGGGUUGCGGACAGUGUCUGGUGGGUAGUUUGACUGGGGCGGUCUCCUCCUAAAGAGUAACGGAGGAGCACGAAGGUUGGCUAAUCCUGGUCGGACAUCAGGAGGUUAGUGCAAUGGCAUAAGCCAGCUUGACUGCGAGCGUGACGGCGCGAGCAGGUGCGAAAGCAGGUCAUAGUGAUCCGGUGGUUCUGAAUGGAAGGGCCAUCGCUCAACGGAUAAAAGGUACUCCGGGGAUAACAGGCUGAUACCGCCCAAGAGUUCAUAUCGACGGCGGUGUUUGGCACCUCGAUGUCGGCUCAUCACAUCCUGGGGCUGAAGUAGGUCCCAAGGGUAUGGCUGUUCGCCAUUUAAAGUGGUACGCGAGCUGGGUUUAGAACGUCGUGAGACAGUUCGGUCCCUAUCUGCCGUGGGCGCUGGAGAACUGAGGGGGGCUGCUCCUAGUACGAGAGGACCGGAGUGGACGCAUCACUGGUGUUCGGGUUGUCAUGCCAAUGGCACUGCCCGGUAGCUAAAUGCGGAAGAGAUAAGUGCUGAAAGCAUCUAAGCACGAAACUUGCCCCGAGAUGAGUUCUCCCUGACUCCUUGAGAGUCCUGAAGGAACGUUGAAGACGACGACGUUGAUAGGCCGGGUGUGUAAGCGCA
rnacentral:rRNA from 1 species